GAGUUCGUGCCCGAAAGGGUAGACCUCCCACCCUUGUGUAUUAUUACUUUGUUGCUAUGGCGAGCUGCCUUCGGGCCUUGUAUACUCGCCAGAGAAUAUCGAAACUCUUUUUAUUAAUGUCGUCUGAGUACUAUAUAAUAGUUAAAACUUUCAACAACGGAUCUCUUGGUUCU
rnacentral:misc_RNA from 1 species